GUUUUUAACGUUUGUUCGAAAUACGUCACGCAUGACGAAUCGCAGUUCGAUUGUGUUUCUUGUUGCUUUCGGACGUGCUUUUGUUCUGCUCUUGGAUUGCGUUGCUUUUUUUGCGGUUUGUGCACUUUUGCGGAGAGGAUUCAAGAUUUUUUAGGAUGAAGACGUUGCUGCGUUGUUGGAGGCGGUUCCGGCGGAGGCAGGCGGUGGCGCCGGAGGGAGAGGGUUCCUCGGACGACGCGGAACGAGUCUGUCGUUCCGUGCCGUCCGAGGAGCGACAGGCAGCGGGUGAAGAAGGCCUUGGCCAAGUGCGCGUGGCGUGGCAUCCUCCCGGAGUCGGGAUGAUGCGACGCUACACCCAGGGCCCAGUGCGCUUGGCCGAGGUCUUCGGGGGUCAUCCGGCCACAGACCUUGCUGUGGAGGAUGUCGAAAGUGACAGCUCGUCCGAGCUGACACUUUCUGUUUGGUCGUGUUCUGCCCGUUCGUCCGCGACGGCGACGCCACCGCCUUGCCGAAGUCGGGACGGGGAGGAGUCGGAGGAGAGAGCCCCCGAAGUCGAGGGACCGUGCUGUCCGUGGUUUAGUUGCUGCGGACGGCUGCGGUUGCCUUGGCCUAGGCGGUGAUCUUCUUCGAUUUCCUCUUCUUCACCCGGAUGCGACUUUCUUACCGGAUUCGACACUUUUCACCCGGACAUGACACUUUUUAACGGACGUGACCUCUCUUACCCGGACGUGACCCACGGACUUGACACGUUUCUUCACCGGACGCGACAUUCGGCCGACCUUUCUUCCCAAACAGCUGUUAUGAGGAUUGAGCUUCCGGUUAGGGUUCGUUAGGUUAGCCUAGGCUAGCCUAACGAACCCUUCGCUCUUCUCAUAACACUGUUCGGGAAGAAAGGCUGUCUGAUUAAGGUAAUAAUCUUGACCUUAGGUAAUAAAUGAAUAAACUUCUCGUUUUCUCACUGCCUUUGUGUUUUGUAGGAACAUUUGGGAGGGAGAAGAAUCUCCCUCCCCAACUUUACCACGAAGAGGACCAUUUAUCGUACAAGUGAAUAUUUUCCGAUGACGUGCCGAAGAUGUUCUUCGAUCACACACAUACACACACACGCACGGACAUAACACCACUGUACACGAAGAUAUACACCGUUUAACCUUUACUCGAAUUCUCGCACUCACGCACUUACACAUCAAGCGCUCGUUCUGUGUAAUUCCACACAGUGAAACAACCCGAAUACACGCUUCCCACAAAUCCAACCCCUGGGUCCUCGUCCCGGGAAGUGGAAACGCCAAUUUUAAAGAUUAAAAUACUUUAAAUUGGCGGCCGAAGGGGCUCUGGUAAUCACACAUCUUGCAUCGAUUAAAUGCAAUUUCAGACAUUAGAUUUUAGACAUAAUCGUUUGGUGAUGAAUUGGGAAGGAGAAGAAUCCUGUACCAAGUAUUAAACAUUGUUUUUCCCACUAUGUUUUGUUUUUGUGGCUUCUUUUUUAAUCGUGGUCUCAAACUUUUUCAGGCAAAUUGCAAGGAAUAAUUUGUUGUAUAUGAAUUUUUUUUUCUUGAAAUACGAAAAUAAAUGUUUACUUCA
rnacentral:lncRNA from 1 species